rnacentral:snoRNA from 2 species
UUCAGCCUUGUCAAAUUCGCUGCUUCCUCUACAAUGGACCGCACUGGCCCAAAUGGCUGCCACAGUGAACCUGUAGUUCAGACAAUAACUAGUUGAUCUAAAGUGAUCUACUAACUGUA